GCAACUACAUUUCAAAAAUCAUCUUUCUAUCACGGCUCUGCUAUAACACAUUGCGAAUUAUGAUGAAGUGUUGUUGUUUGAUAGUUUUCAUCUUUUGCACAAUUGGUGUCUCAAAUGGCGGAAUUCUUUCUGGAAUAUGCCACUCCUCCAACGGUACCUGUGGAAAAAAAGGUGUUCCAUGUAAAGAGACUUUUGGGUCUGAUUGGACGUAUUACGGAAAAUGCUGCGAUGACCGACCAUGUUGCAAAUUUUUAAAAGUGCCAUGUGUUCCAGAAACUUGCCCAAAAGGGUUCAAGCUAUUAUCAAACCAAACAAGUAGUGCUAAUUGUUAUUACACUAGUGAAGAAGUUAGAAAAAGCUGGAAUAUAGCUGCGGAUAGUUGUGCCGCGACAGGUGGUGCCUAACUGUGGAGACCGAACACUGAACAAGAAGCCAAUGCUGUUUAUAAUGAAUUAAAUAUCCCACUAAAUGUAGGUGUAUGGACUGGUGCAAAUGAUAUAGACAACGAUGGAAACUUUACAUUUGCCAUAGAAAAUGGUCCACUUUCAUUUAAUGAUCUCCCAUUUGGAGCGGCAUUUUCUAACUUUAAUGAAGUCUGUGUUCUCAUUUUUAACUCCGGAACUUCGUGGCUUUGGUUGAAAUCAGUCUGUACCGAUGUUUAUUGCUACAUAUGCGAGUACAAACUUAGAGUCUGUCCGUAGAGAGGAUGUAUGCCAUUGCUG